rnacentral:rRNA from 1 species
UAUUGCCAGUUGCUACCAGGUAAUGCUGGGCACUCUGGUGAGACUGCCCCGGUUAACGGGGAGGAAGGUGGGACGACGUCAAGUCAUCAUGGCCCUUACGCCUAGGGCUACACACGUACUACAAUGGCGCAUACAAAGGGCAGCGAUACCGCGAGGUGGAGCCAAUCCCAAAAAGUGCGUCCCAGUCCGGAUUGCAGUCUGCAACUCGACUGCAUGAAGUUGGAAUCGCUAGUAAUUCGAGAUCAGCAUGCUCGGGUGAAUGCGUUCCCGGGCCUU